GGGCUCACACAAGCGGUGGAGGAUGUGGCUUAAUUCGAGGCUACGCGAAGAACCUUAUCCUAGUCUUGACAUGCUUAGGAACCUGACUGAAAGGUUGGGGUGCCCUUCGGGGAGCCUUUGCACAGGUGCUGCAUGGCUGUCGUCAGCUCGUGUCGUGAGAUGUCGGGUUAAGUCCCUUAACGAGCGAAACCCUUGUCCCUAGUUGCCAGCGAGUCAUGUCGGGGACUCUAGGGAGACUGCCGGUGUUAAACCGGAGGAAGGUGGGGAUGACGUCAAGUCCUCAUGGCCUUUAUGAUUAGGGCUGCACACGUCCUACAAUGCAACGUAUAAAGGGAAGCAAACCCGCGAGGGGGAGCAAAUCUCAAAAAGCGUUGCUCAGUUCGGAUUGCAGGCUGCAACUCGCCUGCAUGAAGCUGGAAUCGCUAGUAAUCGCGGGUCAGCAUACCGCGGUGAAUGUGUUCCUGAGCCUU
rnacentral:rRNA from 1 species